rnacentral:rRNA from 1 species
GAAAUGCGUAGAUAUUAGGAGGAACACCAGUUGCGAAGGCGGCUCUCUGGACUGUAACUGACGCUGAGGCACGAAAGCGUGGGGAGCAAACAGGAUUAGAUCCCCUGGUAGUCCACGCUGUAAACGAUGAGUACUAGGUGUCGGGGGUUACCCCCUUCGGUGCCGCAGCUAACGCAUUAAGUACUCCGCCUGGGAAGUACGCUCGCAA